ensembl:snRNA U7 U7 small nuclear RNA
UAGUGUUACAGCUCUUUUAGAAUUUGUCUAGCAGGCUUUCUGUUUUUUGCUAAAAUCCUCC